rnacentral:rRNA from 1 species
UACAGAGACUGCAAGCGUUAUUCGGAUUCACUGGGCGUAAAGGGUGCGCAGGCGCCAUGUGUGUGAGGCGUGAAAGCCCGGAGCUUAACUCCGGAAUUGCACCUCAAACUAACAUGGCUAGAGCAUUGGAGAGGGUAGCGGAAUUCACGGUGUAGCAGUGAAAUGCGUAGAUAUCGUGAGGAACACCAGGAGCGAAGGCGGCUACCUGGACAAUUGCUGACGCUCAGGCACGAAAGCGUGGGGAGCAAAAGGG